rnacentral:rRNA from 1 species
UCCGAGGGGCAUGCCUGUUCGAGCGUCAUUACACCACUCAAGCUAUGCUUGGUAUUGGGUGCCGUCCUUAGUUGGGCGCGCCUUAAAGACCUCGGCGAGGCCUCACCGGCUUUAGGCGUAGUAGAAUUUAUUCGAACGUCUGUCAAAGGAGAGGACUUCUGCCGACUGAAACCUUUUAUUUUUUCUAGGUUGACCUCGGAUCAGGUAGGGAUACCCGCUGAACUUAAGCAUAUCAAUAAGCGGAGGAAAAGAAACCAACAGGGAUUGCCCUAGUAACGGCGAGUGAAGCGGCAACAGCUCAAAUUUGAAAGCUGGCCUUCGGGUCCGCAUUGUAAUUUGUAGAGGAUGCUUUGGGUGAAACGCCAGUCUAAGUUCCUUGGAACAGGACGUCAUAGAGGGUGAGAAUCCCGUAUGUGACUGGAAAUGUUAACCUAUGUAAAGCUCCUUCGACGAGUCGAGUUGUUUGGGAAUGCAGCUCUAAAUGGGAGGUAAAUUUCUUCUAAAGCUAAAUAUUGGCGAGAGACCGAUAGCGCACAAGUAGAGUGAUCGAAAGAUGAAAAGCACUUUGGAAAGAGAGUUAAAAAGCACGUGAAAUUGUUGAAAGGGAAGCGCUUGCAAUCAGACUUGUUUAAACUGUUCGGCCGGUCUUCUGACCGGUUUACUCAGUUUGGACAGGCCAGCAUCAGUUUCGGCGGCCGGAUAAAGGCUCUGGGAAUGUGGCCUUCACUUCGGUGAAGGUGUUAUAGCCCAGUGUGUAAUACGGCCAGCCGGGACUGAGGUCCGCGC